rnacentral:rRNA from 1 species
CCUACGGGUGGCUGCAGUGGGGAAUAUUGGACAAUGGGGGGAACCCUGAUCCAGCCAUGCCGCGUGUGUGAAGAAGGCCCUCGGGUUGUAAAGCACUUUCAGUGAGGAAGAACGCCUGGUGGUUAAUACCCAUCAGGAAAGACAUCACUCACAGAAGAAGCACCGGCUAACUCCGUGCCAGCAGCCGCGGUAAUACGGAGGGUGCGAGCGUUAAUCGGAAUUACUGGGCGUAAAGCGCGCGUAGGUGGCUUGAUAAGCCGGUUGUGAAAGCCCCGGGCUCAACCUGGGAACGGCAUCCGGAACUGUCAAGCUAGAGUGCAGGAGAGGAAGGUAGAAUUCCCGAUGUAGCGGUGAAAUGCGUAGAGAUCGGGAGGAAUACCAGUGGCGAAGGCGGCCUUCUGGACUGACACUGACACUGAGGUGCGAAAGCGUGGGUAGCAAACAGGAUUAGAUACCCCGGUAGUC